rnacentral:rRNA from 1 species
CCGGAUACUGAUCGCCUUGGGCAUCCUUGGUGAUCGAAAGCUCCGGCGGUGCAGGAUGAGCCCGCGGCCUAUCAGCUUGUUGGUGAGGUAAUGGCUCACCAAGGCGACGACGGGUAGCCGGCCUGAGAGGGCGACCGGCCACACUGGGACUGAGACACGGCCCAGACUCCUACGGGAGGCAGCAGUGGGGAAUAUUGCACAAUGGGCGAAAGCCUGAUGCAGCGACGCCGCGUGAGGGAUGACGGCCUUCGGGUUGUAAACCUCUUUCAGCAGGGAAGAAGCGAAAGUGACGGUACCUGCAGAAGAAGCGCCGGCUAACUACGUGCCAGCAGCCGCGGUAAUACGUAGGGCGCGAGCGUUGUCCGGAAUUAUUGGGCGUAAAGAGCUCGUAGGCGGCUUGUCGCGUCGGUUGUGAAAGCCCGGGGCUUAACCCCGGGUCUGCAGUCGAUACGGGCAGGCUAGAGUUCGGUAGGGGAGAUCGGAAUUCCUGGUGUAGCGGUGAAAUGCGCAGAUAUCAGGAGGAACACCGGUGGCGAAGGCGGAUCUCUGGGCCGAUACUGACGCUGAGGAGCGAAAGCGUGGGGAGCGAACAGGAUUAGAUACCCUGGUAGUCCACGCCGUAAACGGUGGGCACUAGGUGUGGGCGACAUUCCACGUCGUCCGUGCCGCAGCUAACGCAUUAAGUGCCCCGCCUGGGGAGUACGGCCGCAAGGCUAAAACUCAAAGAUUGACGGGGGCCCGCACAAGCGGCGGACAUGUGGCUAUUCACGCACCGAAAUUACCAGGCUUGACUACCCGUCCAGAUGGGCGCCCCUUGUGGUCGUGUACGGGUGCAUGGCUGUCGUCCUCGCUGAAGUUGGGUAAGUCCGACACGACCUUGCCCGUGCCAGCCCUUGGGCUGGGAUGGACCCGGGAUGAGGGCAUCAUCUCUGCCCUUAGGUGGCUAGGG